UCCCGUGUCGGAGUGUUCGGAUCGCGACGACGUGAGCGGUUCGCUGCCCGCGACGUCGCGAGAAGUCCACUGAACCUUAUCAUUUAGAGGAAGGAGAAGUCGUAACAAGGUUUCCGUAGGUGAACCUGCGGAAGGAUCAUUG
rnacentral:rRNA from 1 species